UACGUAGGGGGCAAGCGUUGUCCGGAUUUAUUGGGCGUAAAGAGCGUGUAGGCGGCCAAGCAGGUCUGCUGUGAAAACUCGAGGCUCAACCUCGAGACGUCGGUGGAAACCGUUUGGCUAGAGUCCGGAAGAGGAGAGUGGAAUUCCCGGUGUAGCGGUGAAAUGCGCAGAUAUCGGGAAGAACACCCGUGGCGAAGGCGGCUCUCUGGGACGGUACUGACGCUGAGACGCGAAAGCGUGGGGAGCAAACAGG
rnacentral:rRNA from 1 species